rnacentral:misc_RNA from 1 species
GAUGAAGAACGUAGCUAAAUGCGAUAAGUAAUGUGAAUUGCAGAAUUCAGUGAAUCAUCGAAUCUUUGAACGCACAUUGCGCCCUCUGGUAUUCCGGGGGGCAUGCCUGUUCGAGCGUCAUUAUAACCACUCAAGCUCUCGCUUGGUAUUGGGGUUCGCGGUUUCGCGGCCCCUAAAAUCAGUGGCGGUGCCUGUCGGCUCUACGCGUAGUAAUACUCCUCGCGAUUGAGUCCGGUAGGUCUACUUGCCAGCAACCCCUAAUUUUUUUUAAGGUUGACCUCGGAUCAGGUAGGGAUACCCGCUGAACUUAAGCAUAUCAAUAAGCGGAGGA